rnacentral:rRNA from 1 species
UAGGGAAUCUUCCACAAUGGACGCAAGUCUGAUGGAGCAACGCCGCGUGAGUGAAGAAGGUUUUCGGACCGUAAAGCUCUGUUGUUGGUGAAGAAGGAUAGAGGUAGUAACUGGCCUUUAUUUGACGGUAAUCAACCAGAAAGUCACGGCUAACUACGUGCCAGCAGCCGCGGUAAAUACGUAGGUGGCAAAGCGUUGUCCGGAUUUAUUGGGCGUAAAGCGAGCGCAGGCGGAAGAAUAAGUCUGAUGUGAAAGCCCUCGGCUUAACCGAGGAAUUGCAUCGGAAACUGUUUUCUUGAGUGCAGAAGAGGAGAGUAGAACUCCAUGUGUAGCGGUGGAAUGCGUAGAUAUAUGGAAGAAUACCAGUGGCGAAGGCGGCUCUCUGGUCUGCAACUGACGCUGAGGCUCGAAAGCAUGGGUAGCGAACAGGAUUAGAUACCCUGGUAGUCCAUGCCGUAAACGAUGAGUGCUAAGUGUUGGGAGGCUUCCGCCUCUCAGUGCUGCAGCUAACGCAUUAAGCACUCCGCCUGGGGGAGUACGACCGCAAGGUUGAAAC